CUACGGGGCGCUGCAGUGAGGAAUAUUGCACAAUGGGGGGAACCCUGAUGCAGCAACGCCGCGUGGAGGAUGACGCAUUUCGGUGUGUAAACUCCUUUUAUAUGUCAAGAAAAUGACGGUAGCAUAUGAAUAAGCACCGGCUAACUCCGUGCCAGCAGCCGCGGUAAUACGGAGGGUGCAAGCGUUACUCGGAAUCACUGGGCGUAAAGGACGCGUAGGCGGGUUGGAAAGUCAGGUGUGAAAUCCUACAGCUUAACUGUAGAACUGCACUUGAAACUUCUAAUCUAGAGUAUGGGAGGGGGAGAUGGAAUUAGUGGUGUAGGGGUAAAAUCCGUAGAUAUCACUAGGAAUACCUAAAGCGAAGGCGAUCCCCUGGAACAUUACUGACGCUAAGGCGUGAAAGCGUGGGGAGCAACCAGGAUUAGAUACCCCAGUAGUC
rnacentral:rRNA from 1 species